rnacentral:rRNA from 1 species
CCUACGGGAGGCAGCAGUGAGGAAUAUUGGUCAAUGGGCGCGAGCCUGAACCAGCCAAGUCGCGUGAGGGAUGACGGCCCUACGGGUUGUAAACCUCUUUUGCCGGGGAGCAACGGGCGCCACGUGUGGCGCCACUGAGAGUACCCGGAGAAAAAGCAUCGGCUAACUCCGUGCCAGCAGCCGCGGUAAUACGGAGGAUGCGAGCGUUAUCCGGAUUUAUUGGGUUUAAAGGGUGCGUAGGUUGUUUUUUAAGUCAGCGGUGAAAGUUUGUGGCUCAACCAUAAAAUUGCCGUUGAAACUGGAAGACUUGAGUGUGUUUGAGGUAGGCGGAAUGCGUGGUGUAGCGGUGAAAUGCAUAGAUAUCGCGCAGAACCCCGAUUGCGAAGGCAGCGCGCCGUGCCGCCACUGACGCUGAGGCACGAAAGCGCGGGGAUCGAACAGGAUUAGAUACCCCUGUAGUC